UAAACCAGUUUAUAUGAAACAAAAAAAAAAUAAAAAUGUUAGAAUUGAGAAACAAAAAGAAAAAAAAUGUAAAUAAAAUAAAAUCAGAAAAAGAGAAUGAUCAGUUAGACCAUCUAAUACUAAUUUAGCCAUCACUCUGGCAAAUCAAACCAAUAGGGAAUCUAUUAAUCAUCACUUCAUUCUCACCUUCUUCUGAUAAAUAAACAAUUUUCCAUAAUCCAAAAACUACAAUAAUAAAAUACAUACAUAUAUUUAUCAGAUAUAUAUAUGUAUAUAUACAAAA
rnacentral:lncRNA from 1 species